CCUACGGGAGGCAGCAGUGGGGAAUAUUGCACAAUGGGGGAAACCCUGAUGCAGCAACGCCGCGUGAGUGAAGAAGUAUUUCGGUAUGUAAAGCUCUAUCAGCAGGGAAGAAGAUGACGGUACCUGAGUCAGAAGCCCCGGCUAACUACGUGACAGCAGCCGCGGUAAUACGUAGGGGGCAAGCGUUAUCCGGAUUUACUGGGUGUAAAGGGAGCGCAGACGGUGAGACAAGUCAGAAGUGAAAGCCCGGGGCUCAACCCCGGGACUGCUUUGGAAACUGCCUGACUGGAGUACUGGAGAGGCAAGCGGAAUGCCUAGUGUAGCGGUGAAAUGCGUAGAUAUUAGGAAGAACCCCGAUUGCGAAGGCAGCAUGCCGGCUUCCGACUGACGCUGAAGCACGAAAGCGUGGGGAUCGAACAGGAUUAGAUACCCUAGUAGUC
rnacentral:rRNA from 1 species